rnacentral:rRNA from 1 species
GAUGAACGCUAGCUACAGGCUUAACACAUGCAAGUCGCGGGGCAGCAUGGGGGUUGCUUGCAAUCCCUGAUGGCGACCGGCGCACGGGUGAGUAACGCGUAUCCAACCUGCCCUUCACCACGGGAUAACCCGGCGAAAGUCGGACUAAUACCGUAUGUUGUCCAUUGACGGCAUCCGAUUUGGACGAAAGGCUUAGCGGUGAGGGAUGGGGAUGCGUCCGAUUAGCUUGACGGCGGGGUAACGGCCCACCGUGGCUACGAUCGGUAGGGGUUCUGAGAGGAGGGGCCCCCCCACUGAAACUGGGAAACGGUCCCAACCCCAACGGGAGGAAGGAGGGAGGAAAUUGGGUAAAGGGGGGUAAGCCUGAACCAGCAAAGGGGGGGGAAGGAGGACGGCCCUGGGGGUUGUAAAUUGUUUUUAGGGGGGGAAAAAGGGCCCCACGGGGGGGUUUUGGCGGGUACCGAAGGAAAAAGGACCGGCAAAUUCCGU